UUAAGAUUUUAAAGACUGAAGAAGAAAGAUCGGUAGCUCAGGACGUUGAAAAUCGAUUCUCAAUUUUCAGACUACAGAAUCGAUCCCUGAAUUAUCACCAAAUUACGAUCUUACAAAUCGAUUUUCACUACGCCAUGCCGUUAGAAGUGAAACUACGUAUCGCCCUGAACGAGAACGCAAGGGGGGGGGGGAAA